GCCAGCAUGGUCUAAUGGUUUGAAUGUUAGACUGUGAGUCUGGAGACUAGGUUUAAUUCCCAUCUUGGCC